GAAGAUUCUUCCAAGUCCUGGUUGCUCCAUAUGUCAAUGCAGUUUCGCAGAUUAUUUCUGCCUUUUUAGCCAUGUGGCCCAUUUUUUCGAGAAGACAAACAUACAGUGGUCUACCUGUGUCCAAGUCAAAUUUUCCUGCUUUUAAGAUCCUAUAGUCUGUGGAGAGUCCAAAGAGCCAUACUUUAAUGACUUUUAAGGGGAAACACUUAGUGCUUUUCUUCUCUCCUUUUGAUUUUGUGUAUGUGUGUCCUACAAAAGUUGGUUGUUUUUGUGGUAAAGUCAAUGGAUUUCACAGUAUGAACUGGGAAGUGGUUGCAGUUGUAGUGAAUUCCCAUUUUAAUUCACCUUACAUACCAUGGAAGCAUGACCAUUUGAGUCACAAAAACAUUACACUGUUGUGUUAAACUAAGGAAAUAGCCUGCAAAUACAGGGAGUAAUCAGAAGGUGCUGGUGUGACUCUCAGGGACCUCUUUAUAAUUGACCUUAAUGGUGUCAUUAAGCACUUGAGUGUCAGUGACAAAACAGUGAGCUGCUGCAUGGAAACAACCUCCCACUUGGUGAGGGCUCCUUAACUUGGCAAGACCCAUGGAGAUGUCUGCCUUCCCAAAGGAUCCUGGAUUCCCCUCUGAUAAACCAAGUCCAAUGGCUUCCAAAUAGUACCUUGUAAAGGUGUAUCAG
rnacentral:lncRNA from 1 species